rnacentral:rRNA from 1 species
AUUGAACGCUGGCGGCGUGCCUAACACAUGCAAGUCGAGCGGUAACAGGUGUAGCAAUACAUGCUGACGAGCGGCGAACGGGUGAGUAAUGCUUCGGAAUCUACCUUAUGGUGGGGAAUAACUAGCCGAAAGGUUAGCUAAUACCGCAUACGUCCUACGGGAGAAAGCAGGGGAUCGCAAGACCUUGCGCCAAAAGAUGAGCCGAAGUCGGAUUAGCUAGUUGGGAGGGUAACGGCCUACCAAGGCGACGAUCCGUAGCUGGUCUGAGAGGACGACCAGCCACACUGGGACUGAGACACGGCCCAGACUCCUACGGGAGGCAGCAGUGGGGAAUAUUGGACAAUGGGGGAAACCCUGAUCCAGCGACGCCGCGUGUGUGAAGAAGGCCUGCGGGUUGUAAAGCACUUUUAGUGGGGAUGAAAUGUGCAGGGUUAAUACCUCUGCAUUUUGACCUAACCCACAGAAAAAGCACCGGCUAACUCUGUGCCAGCAGCCGCCGUAAGAC